CGUGGCAUACGGCUCAGUAACACGUAGUCAACAUGCCAGGGGACGUGGAUAACCUCGGGAAACUGAGGAUAAACCGCGAUAGGCCAAGGUUUCUGGAAUGGACCAUGGCUGAAACCUAUACGGCCCCUGGAUUGGACUGCGGCCGAUCAGGCUGUUGGUGAGGUAAUGGCCCACCAAACCUGUAACCGGUACGGGCUUUGAGAGAAGGAGCCCGGAGAUGGGCACUGAGACAAGGGCCCAGGCCCUAUGGGGCGCAGCAGGCGCGAAAACUCUGCAAUAGGCGAAAGCUUGACAGGGUUACUCUGAGUGAUGUCCGUUAAGGGCAUCUUUUGGUACCUCUAAAAAUGGUGCAGAAUAAGGGGUGGGCAAGUCUGGUGUCAGCCGCCGCGGUAAUACCAGCACCCCGAGUGGUCGGGACGAUUAUUGGGCCUAAAGCAUCCGUAGCUUGUCCUGCAAGUCUUCCGUUAAAUCCACCUGCUCAACAGAUGGGCUGCGGAGGAUACUACAGGGCUAGGAGGCGGGAGAGGCAAGCGGUACUCAGUGGGUAGGGGUAAAAUCCUCUGAUCCACUGAAGACCACCAGUGGCGAAGGCGGCUUGCCAGAACGCGCUCGACGGUGAGGGACGAAAGCUGGGGGAGCAAACCGGAUUAGAUACCCGGGUAGUCCCAGCUGUAAACGAUGCAGACUCGGUGAUGGGUUGGCUUUGCGCCA
rnacentral:rRNA from 1 species